rnacentral:rRNA from 1 species
UACGUAGGGGGCCAGCGUUGCUCGGAAUUACUGGGCGUAAAGGGUUCGUAGGUGGUGCGGCAAGUUGGAAGUGAAAUCUCUGGGCUUAACCCAGAGGCUGCUUUCAAAACUGCCGUGCUCGAGUGCGAGAGAGGCGAGUGGAAUUACGGGUGUAGCGGUGAAAUGCGUAGAUAUCCGUAGGAACAUCCGAGGCGAAGGCGGCUCGCUGGACCGCAACUGACGCUGAGGAACGAAAGCUAGGGGAGCAAACAGG